CUCGGGACCUCGGUCAUCCCGGACGAGUCGUGGGCGUACCCGGUCAGGCCAAGACGCCCCGCG
rnacentral:ncRNA from 1 species